GUGGCAUGGUUGGGGGAAAUGAGUAUGACAGAAUUGGAGGGGUUAAUGUGAUAGGACGAGUGUGGCAGGGUGAAAGGGGGCAAGUGUGACAGAGUGAUGGAGAAUGAGAGUAAUAGAGUUGGGGGGGUGAGUGUGACAGUGCUAGAGAAGGUGAGUGUGAUAGUGUGAGUAUGGCAGAGCGAUGGGAGGAGAGUAUGGCAUGGGUUAACGACAGGAUUGGUGGAGUUAUUGUGAGUGUGGCAGCGUGUGUGGGGGUGACAGAUACACAGACACAUAGGUGCAUACACUGACUCACAUGAAG